rnacentral:rRNA from 1 species
GAUGAACGCUAGCUACAGGCUUAACACAUGCAAGUCGAGGGGCAGCACAGUGUAGCAAUACAUGGGUGGCGACCGGCGCACGGGUGCGUAACGCGUAUCCAACCUUCCCGAUACUCAGGGAUAGCCUUCCGAAAGGGAGAUUAAUACCUGAUGGUGUUUUAAUUCCGCAUGUUAAUGAAACUAAAGAUUUAUCGGUAUCGGAUGGGGAUGCGUGACAUUAGAUAGUAGGCGGGUAACGGCCCACCUAGUCUACGAUGUCUAGGGGUUCUGAGAGGAAGGUCCCCCACACUGGAACUGAGACACGGCCCAGACUCCUACGGGAGGCAGCAGUGGGGAAUAUUGGGCAAUGGGGGAAACCCUGACCCAGCAACGCCGCGUGAAGGAAGAAGGCCUUCGGGUUGUAAACUUCUUUAGCAGGGACGAAGGACGUGACGGUACCUGCAGAAAAAGCAACGGCUAACUACGUG